GGCAGGGUUACAGGGCCUAAAUUUAUACAGGUUUCGUCAUGGGGGCUACCUAGUGAAUAAUCUGUGCAGUGUGAUACGGCUGGGUGUACAGGUUACUUCACAGCUGCCUCGACAUACUCAAGAAAUGGGUGCAGAACCUGCGUAAUGCCCACAAACUCCACAGCACCUCCAGAAAG